GCAAACUUGGUCAUUUAGAGGAAGUAAAAGUCGUAACAAGGUUUCCGUAGGUGAACCUGCGGAAGGAUCAUUAUUGAAAUAAAUUUGGUUGGGUUGUUGCUGGCUUCUAACUUGGAGCAUGUGCACACCUAAUCUUAUAUUUCUAACCACCUGUGAACCUGUGUAGAACUUGAAACAACUUUCAAGCAAUAAUAAUAACUUUUGCUUGGAUUGAGAAUUGCUGAGAUCAGCUUUUCUUAUGUUUCCAGAUCUAUGUGAUUAUAUACACCAAUAAGCAUGUAUCAGAACAUUAUUCAUUUGAGUCUAUGUGCUCUUUAAAUAUAACUUUCAACAACGGAUCUCUUGGCUCUCGCAUCGAUGAAGAACGCAGC
rnacentral:misc_RNA from 1 species